rfam:Erinaceus europaeus unplaced genomic scaffold scaffold00350, whole genome shotgun sequence
UCUAAAGCCAUUACCACCCUGAACAUGCCCAAUUUCGUUUGAUCUUGGAAGUUAAGCAGUGUUGGGCCUCGUUAGUGCUGGAUGGGAGAACUCUACUGCCUUGGAUUCUAUGGUCUUUGAGC